GGAAUCUUAGACAAUGGGCGCAAGCCUGAUCUAGCCAUGCCGCGUGAACGAUGAAGGCCUUAGGGUUGUAAAGUUCUUUCACCGGGGAAGAUAAUGACGGUACCCGGAGAAGAAGCCCCGGCUAACUCCGUGCCAGCCGCCGCGGUAAUACGGCGGGGGCUAGCGUUGUUCGGAAUUACUGGGCGUAAAGCGCGCGUAGGCUGGCUGUUAAGUCGGGGGUGAAAUCCCGGGGCUCAACCCCGGAACUGCCUCCGAUACUGGCAGCCUUGAGUCCGAGAGAGGUGAGUGGAAUUCCGAGUGUAGAGGUGAAAUUCGUAGAUAUUCGGAGGAACACCAGUGGCGAAGGCGGCUCACUGGCUCGGUACUGACGCUGAGGUGCGAAAGCGUGGGGAGCAAAC
rnacentral:rRNA from 1 species